rnacentral:misc_RNA from 1 species
AACUUUUAGCAACGGAUCUCUUGGUUCUGGCAUCGAUGAAGAACGCAGCGAAAUGCGAUAAGUAAUGUGAAUUGCAGAAUUCGGCGAAUCAUCGAAUCUUUGAACGCACAUUGCGCCCGCUAGUAUUCUGGCGGGCAUGCCUGUUCGAGCGUCAUUCGACCCUCAAGCCUUUGCUUGGUGUUGGGGCGCUACGGGCCUUCCGGGGCUCGUAGGCCCUGAAAUCCAGUGGCGGACUCGCUGUAUGUUCGGGCGCAGUAGCAUUAUGUUUUCUCGCCUGGGACUUGUAGCGGGAUCCAGCCGUUAAACCCCCCAAAGUUACCAAAGGUUGACCUCGGAUCAGGUAGGAAUACCCGCUGAACUUAAGCAUAUCAAUAAGCGGAGGCU